GCCCUCCCCCUUUCUUCUCCAACGCAUCUUCAUUCUUUCUUCGACCUUUUCUUUUCUCUUCUUCUAACUUGCUCAGCCGCCGCCGCCCCUUUUCAUCUGCCUUGGUCGCUGGUCGAUUUCUCCCCGCCGCAGCAUUCCGUUGAAGUGAGGGCUUUUGGAACACGUCUCCAGCUUCGACCCAUCAGGUGACACACUUUUCCUGGUCAAGGUAUUCGUUACAUCCGCCGCAGUCCCGGACACACUCCUUAUUUUGCCGACAAUUGCUAGGGCGACUACCUUUCGCGAGGUGGUCGGUGAAGAUCCUAUUGAGUGGAACUAUAAGGAUCUCAUGCACCACCCCUGAAGCAUAUCGAUCGGUUCCUUUAUGUUUUGCCUCUGUUUGCAUUAUCAAUUGCAUGUCGUGGAUGUGCUUGGAUGGUAGGUUCUUAUGGCUAUGUGAAAUACCUAUGGAAUAGAUGGAUAGAAAUUUGGAUGUAUCUUUUGUGUGGUAAGAAUUGUUGCUAUGGAUUGAUGGAUCUCCCCACUUGCUUAUUACUAGGUUGGAUGUUUGAAAUGCUUGUGUUUGACGGAACAUAAUGUCAAAGUGGAGAUGUUGCUAGCCUUGUUCGAUUGGUUAAUUUACUUUGUUGUUUGUUGGAGGACAUCGACUAGUAAAUACUGUUAUGUUAAUAUCCUAUGUUGGGAUUUCCUUAAUAGUGUUUAUUGU